UAGGGAAUCUUCCACAAUGGACGCAAGUCUGAUGGAGCAACGCCGCGUGAGUGAAGAAGGUUUUCGGACCGUAAAGCUCUGUUGUUGGUGAAGAAGGAUAGAGGUAGUAACUGGCCUUUAUUUGACGGUAAUCAACCAGAAAGUCACGGCUAACUACGUGCCAGCAGCCGCGGUAAUACGUAGGUGGCAAGCGUUGUCCGGAUUUAUUGGGCGUAAAGCGAGCGCAGGCGGAAGAAUAAGUCUGAUGUGAAAGCCCUCGGCUUAACCGAGGAAUUGCAUCGGAAACUGUUUUCUUGAGUGCAGAAGAGGAGAGUAGAACUCCAUGUGUAGCGGUGGAAUGCGUAGAUAUAUGGAAGAAUACCAGUGGCGAAGGCGGCUCUCUGGUCUGCAACUGACGCUGAGGCUCGAAAGCAUGGGUAGCGAACAGGAUUAGAUACCCUGGUAGUCCAUGCCGUAAACGAUGAGUGCUAAGUG
rnacentral:rRNA from 1 species